rnacentral:sRNA from 1 species
GCUGGGUAUAGUGGCGCAUGCCUGUAAUCCCAGCUGCUCGGGAGGCUGAGGCAAGAGGAUCGCGAGUUCAAAGCCAGCCUCAGCAAAAGCAAGGUGCUAAGCAACUCAGUGAGACCCUGUCUCUA